rnacentral:rRNA from 1 species
UACGUAGGGGGCAAGCGUUGUCCGGAAUAACUGGGCGUAAAGGGCGCGUAGGCGGUCGGGUAAGUGAGAUGUGAAAGCUCUGGGCUCAACCCAGGAAUUGCAUUUCAUACUGCUCGACUUGAGUUCGGUAGAGGAGGGCGGAAUUCCAGGUGUAGCGGUGAAAUGCGUAGAUAUCUGGAGGAACACCCGUGGCGAAGGCGGCUCUCUGGUCCGAUACUGACGCUGAGGCGCGAAAGCUAGGGUAGCAAACAGG